rnacentral:lncRNA from 1 species
CAGUUAUCAAAUUUCAUCUUCUAAUUGCAUAUCUUCAAUUUCAGAACUGCGUUCACAAAAAUAAAAUAAAAAAAGCAACGAAGUUGCACCAUAAUGAGAUCCACCAUUCUGUUUCCUUAAGCUUUCCAUAACUAAAGUCAUCAUCGACAAAGUUAUUACCACUGAGUUCAAUUCAGUACUUUUUCUUCCACAUGUUGCUCAACGUGAUAUAUUUUUUUUUUUCAUCCACUAAAAUUAAAAAAGAUGAUAUUAUAUUGCAAAUCGUGUAAUAACCCAAAAUAGUUGCAGACAAACCUAUCAAUUUUUUCCUUCAAUGCCGGAUCAAUCUCAUCAUCAAUAUCACCUUCAUCAAACCCAAUCAUAUCCUCCACCCUAUCAUCCUUUAGAUCUUGUAGCUUUAAUGUCAAACUAGAACUAGGCGUAAAUUUGUUGAGUUCAUCACUGGGGCAAGCAAAGUUAAGAUUGCUCGACACCUAAAACAUUUGGGCGAAAAGAAAAAUGAAGAAAAACUAGCUACCCAACAACUCAAGCAGAAAAGUACAAGUUCAAGACCGAAUUAGUGAUUCAAACCUCAUGGAUCUCAUUGGCCUCAUAUAGACACGUGCUUUUCUGCUGAUCUUUUCUCCUGCGAUUCUUCUUUUUGUUCUUGGAAGUUUUAAUUCCUUUGGAAUCUGUGAAACAUAAUUUCCUUACCUCCAAUGAGGCCUUCAAAAGGAAAUAAAGUAAAAAUAGACGACUAAGACACUACACUUCAAAUCCCAUUUAAAGGAAUCUUAAGUACUUCCAAGUACAGUAUAAUGUGGGCUAAUGCAAUCCUGAAAAAGAUUAGUAUCAAGUGUGCAUUGUGCAAUUUGCUCGUUGGAACUACAACCUACUCAAUGAUAAAUCCAAUUUCUCAAUUAACAAUAACCAUGCAGUCAAGGAAUAAGAGAGCAAUUACUCAGGUAUACCUCC